ensembl:lncRNA
AUGUUUAGAUUAAGGUCAACGUCAGUUCAGAGCACGGCUUCCCAGUCGAACGCAUGGCCACAUGGAGCCCUCCAGCCCGCGCCCUGCCCUCCCCGAAACCUGCUCCUGCAGUAGUGGAACCCUGUCUCCUGCCGUCUGACGACCACUCAGUCAUUUCUCCAAUCCCGGUCUAGAUGCAUAGGGGCCUCACAGUUAUUAACCAGUAACUCUUGAGAAAGAACUUGAUCAAGUAGGGUUCUCUGCUGGCUAGGUGUCUUUUCCUGUAGUUGCACAGAUUCCAGUCAUUUCCAAAGGUCCUUAGGUCAGCACCACUUCCCCCACCACUUGCAGUGAGUUUGUUUCUUCCAUUCUCAAUACGGUUAGGCUCUCUAGUCUCAUCUGCAUUCCAUCCAAGGAUCCACCCACCUAAAUCAUUUUACUAAUUUGUGUAAGUCAAGAUUUGCUCUUUCCACUGUAAAAAUCUGGGGAUUUUGUCAAAGGCAGAGAGGCAAGUAUCCACCAUUAAAGCAUCACACGGAUUUAAUGACCUCUUCAUCCCUCUCCCCCAACACCAGGCCUGCACAGCUCUGGGAAGCUGAUCUGUGUAUCAAAUUGAUAGCUUUGUGUUUGCAGAAUGCCGUAUCAAUGAGACCGUACUCUACCCAGCCUUCGCAGAUGCUUCUUUCUGUUAGAAAGGUGAAUUUGAGAUUCCUCCAUGUUGUUGGCACCUGAUAGCAUUACAUUGCAUGGAUGUACCUCAUUUGGGUGUCCUUUCAUUUAUGGAAGGUUAUCUUUGUUCAUUCAAGUUCCCUGCCUGUAUAAAUGAGGAGCAGUCUAUAUAUGUGUGCUGGCUUUUUUGUUGACGUUCUAUUUGAAAACAUUGUGUAAAUACCUAGGAAGAUGGUUGAGGGAUCACGUGUUAAGAUGAUGUUUAGCUCUGUAAGAAAGUGCCCAAGUGUCUUCCACAGUGGCUGCACCACUCGGCAUGGGCAGCAGUGACGACAGAGAGUCUGUGCUGUCCUACCCCCCAGCCAUGAAUUGAUCUCGUGUAUUUGUGUGUCAAGGCGUCUCACUUUGUUUCAACUUGCUUCUCUCUAAUGAUAAGUGAUUUUGAGCAUCUUCUUGCAUGCUUAUUGUAUGCUUAUACCUUCAUUAGCGAGGUGUCUGUUCAGAUCUUUACCCAUUUUUCAUUGGAAUGUUUGUUUUCUUAUUGUUGAAUUUAUGAUGCUUUGUACAUUUUAAUACAAGCCCUUUCUUAGACAGGCUUCUUCCAAAGAUUUCGCACAGUCUAGGGUUGGUCUUUUUCUUCUCUUAACAGUGAUUAUCAUAGAGUAGAAAAUUUUAAUUCUAACAAAGUCCACCUUAACUGGAUUUUUCUUUGAAGACUCGUUCUUUCAAUGUUGAAGAUAAAAGGUCAUUAUGAAAACUGAGGUCAUAUCUUCUCCUUUGCUAGUUCUAGAAUUUUGAGAGUUUCGCAGUUUAUGUUUACAUCAAUGAACAAUUUUUGUGAGGUGCAUCUGGGUGACAUAAACAAGCAUCUUCAGUCAUACAUCAAACAAGUUCAGAGACGCUAACGUUAUCUACGUGUGGAGGGAGACGAGGACCAGGGUCGUUAAUUAUUCCCACAAUCUCUAAGCAAUGCAGCGGGGGAGGGUGAGAGCGAGCUGCCCUUCACCUCUUCCUGCUCUGCAGAGGUCCAACUGGCGUCUUCAGUCAUGAGACGUGGGGACGCAAGGUCGUGUGACACAGGCUGAAGAUGGCCUGCACGGCUCUUGCACAGCACAGCGUGGGUGUUAUCGGACUGACUUAACGCCUAUGCAGUUUGCGGGCGAGAUUCACCCACUGGACCAGGGAGAGGGGUUCCAGAAAC